UCAGUUCGGAUCGGAGUCUGCAACCCGACUCCGUGAAGCUGGAUUCGCUAGUAAUCGCGCAUCAGCCAUGGCGCGGUGAAUACGUUCCCGGGCCUUGUACACACCGCCCGUCAAGCCAUGGGAGCCGGGGGUGCUUGAAGUGCGUCGCCGCAAGGCGCGCCCUAGAGCAAAACCGGUGACUGGGGCUAAGUCGUAACAAGGUAUC
rnacentral:rRNA from 1 species